CGGCCUGAGGUCGGACGAGGCUACCCGCUGAAUUUAAGCAUAUUACUAAGCGGAGGAAAAGAAACUAACGAGGAUUCCCUCAGUAACGGCGAGUGAAGCGGGACGAGCCCAGCGCCGAAUCCGGCCGCUUAUGGAGCGGACGGAAUUGUGGCGUAUGGAAUUCGCUUCGAGCGCGGACCGGCUGCCCACGUCCUUCUGAUCGAGGCUUCAUCCAUAGCGGGUGUCAGGCCCUUGGCGGCGGCUGGCCCGGGCUCUCGGUGUCUCCCGGAGUCGGGGUUGUUGGGGAAUGCAGCCCAAAGCGGGUGGUAAACUCCAUCUA
rnacentral:ncRNA from 1 species